AUUGAACGCUGGCGGCAUGCCUUACACAUGCAAGUCGAACGGUAACGGGCCUUCGGGUGCCGACGAGUGGCGAACGGGUGAGUAAUACAUCGGAACGUGCCCGAUCGUGGGGGAUAACGAGGCGAAAGCUUUGCUAAUACCGCAUACGAUCCACGGAUGAAAGCAGGGGACCGCAAGGCCUUGCGCGGACGGAGCGGCCGAUGGCAGAUUAGGUAGUUGGUGGGAUAAAAGCUUACCAAGCCGACGAUCUGUAGCUGGUCUGAGAGGAUGAUCAGCCACACUGGGACUGAGACACGGCCCAGACUCCUACGGGAGGCAGCAGUGGGGAAUUUUGGACAAUGGGCGCAAGCCUGAUCCAGCCAUGCCGCGUGCAGGAUGAAGGCCUUCGGGUUGUAAACUGCUUUUGUACGGAACGAAAAGCAUUCUUUUAAUACAGGAGGGUCAUGACGGUACCGUAAGAAUAAGCACCGGCUAACUACGUG
rnacentral:rRNA from 1 species